rnacentral:rRNA from 1 species
UACAGAGGUCCCAAGCGUUGUUCGGAUUCACUGGGCGUAAAGGGUGCGUAGGCGGUCAGGUAAGUCUGAUGUGAAAUCUCUGGGCUUAACCCAGAAAUGGCAUUGGAUACUAUUUGGCUUGAGAGUUGGAGGGGGGACUGGAAUUCUUGGUGUAGCAGUGAAAUGCGUAGAUAUCCGGAGGAACACCGGUGGCGAAGGCGGCUUCCUGGACCGACACUGACGCUGAGGCGCGAAAGCUAGGGGAGCAAACGGG